rnacentral:snRNA from 1 species
GGAUGUGAAGGUGAUCUAGAUGUGACACCUGUCGCCCCAUCGAUCAUUGAUCACUAGGGUUGAUUCCGAUGAUCUGGAUGGCUAGAUGGUUGUCCUCUUCCUCACUUACCACUCCAAGCAAUGGCCUCCCAAAGCUGCAUGCUGGCUUAAAGAAGAUGACCCUCCCUGAAUAGAGGGAGGACCAGUCUUUGGUCAAGGGUGUAUGAGCAGUUGCGCUCCCCUGCUAGAACCUCCAAACAGACACUCAGGAAAUGUGUUAAUCAAUUAAGAAUUGGUUGGAAAUUUGCCCAGUCUCUAUAUGACUUGGGAAGCUACGUGUCUGUGUAA